rnacentral:rRNA from 1 species
GACGAACGCUGGCGGCGUGCUUAACACAUGCAAGUCGAACGGAAAGGCCCUGCUUUUGUGGGGUGCUCGAGUGGCGAACGGGUGAGUAACACGUGAGUAACCUGCCCUUGACUUUGGGAUAACUUCAGGAAACUGGGGCUAAUACCGGAUAGGAGCUCCUGCUGCAUGGUGGGGGUUGGAAAGUUUCGGCGGUUGGGGAUGGACUCGCGGCUUAUCCGCUUGUUGGUGGGGUAGUGGCUUACCAGGGCUUUGACGGGUAGCCGGCCUGGGAGGGUGGACGGCCACAUUGGGACUGAGAUACGGCCCAGACUCCUACGGGAGGCAGCAGUGGGGAAUAUUGCACAAUGGGCGGAAGUCUGAUGCAGCAACGCCGCGUGCGGGAUGACGGCCUUCGGGUUGUAAACCGCUUUCGCAUGUGACGAAGCGUGAGUGACGGUAAUGGGUAAAGAAGCACCGGCUAACUACGUG